CAAGAGCGUAUAUUAAAGUUGUUGCAGUUAAAAAGCUCGUAGUUGGAUUUCUGGUCGGAAGCUCCUGUCCUCUGAUGAGCGUACAAGUGCGUCCUACCAUCCUUCUGUUAACCUUUAAGGCUUUCGCGGCUUUCUAGGGGCUCAGAUAUUUUACCUUGAGAAAAUUAGAGUGUUUCAGGCAGGCUAGCGCCGGAAUACAUUAGCAUGGAAUAAUGGAAUAGGACUUUUGCCUCUUCUGUUGGUCAUGAGGCUCGAGUAAUGAUUAAUAGGGAUAGUUGGGGGCAUUAGUACUUAACUGUCAGAGGUGAAAUUCUCGGAUUUGUUAAAGACUAACUUAUGCGAAAGCAUUUGCCAAGGAUGUUUUCAUUAA
rnacentral:rRNA from 1 species